rnacentral:sRNA from 1 species
CCUGCGGACUCCCGGCUCCCGGCGUGGACGCCAUGGUGCUGUGCCCGGUGAUUGGGAAGCUGCUGCACAAGCGCGUGGUGCUGGCCAGCGCCUCCCCACGCCGUCAGGAGAUCCUCAGCAACGCGGGUCUCAGGUUUGAGGUGGUCCCCUCCAAGUUUAAAGAGAAGCUGGACAAAGCAUCCUUCGCCACUCCGUAUGGGUAUGCCAUGGAGACCGCCAAGCAGAAGGCCCUGGAGGUGGCCAACCGGAUGCACCAGGCAAGGGGCCCCUGCCCUUCGGCCCUCAUGAAAAUUCCUUUGCUAUGAUGAGGGGGUUUGCAGGUGUUAAAUAUACGUGAUACAAAUAAACGUAUCUGUUACUAUGUUAUAAUAUUCUCUUGCAAUUGAUAGCAUAGUAUCAUUUAUGAUAUCGAAUUAAUGUAGCUUAUCUAUUACUAUGUAUUAUAAUAUUGCAAUUGAUAUCAUAGUAUCAUUUAUGAUAUAGAAUUUUAAUGUAGCUUAUCUAUUACUAUGCGUUAUAGUAUUCUCUUGCAACUGAUAGCAUAGUAUCAUUUAUGAUGUCGAAUUAACAUAGCUUAUCUAUUACUAUGU